rnacentral:misc_RNA from 1 species
UGAAGAUAGUGGUAACUUUACCACCAGCAAAAUUCCCUUCAGUUGUGCAAAGGACUCUCCCAUCCAGUGCAUAUCUGUAGCUGGAAGUAACUUUCCAUCCUUGGGUUACAUUUUCUCAUUUGGAGAGGACAACCGCAAGGAUAUUUUUGUUCUAGCUAGCAGUGGUGUUUAUAGAGUUGUUCGUCCAAGUCGCUGCAAUUACACCUGUUCUAAGGAAAAUGUCACAAACGUUGCAAGCCCAGGCCCUACCACAUCACCCCCUUCAAAUGCAGGCCAGUCUCAUUACCGAUAUAGCAGGGUUUUGGUCUUUUUCUUCUCUUUAUUGCUGUUUUUGUUGGAUGUUAUCUAGCGUAUAGCGACUGAUGUAUGCAGUAUAACGGGGC